CUGUCUGUGUGUGUGUUUGUGGGUGUCUGGCUCUCUCUCCCCUGGCUGUUCACCACCUGCGGCUCAUCCUGCAAUCAACCUCCUCAGUGAAAUACACCGGCUCUUCACCCACUCCUUGCCAGUUCGUCAGUAAACCUUCAGUGAGUUCUUUUCCUGUUUGAAGAAGCUGCCUGCCUGCCUGAAAUUGUUUGCUGGAGGACGCAGCCCACCAAGCCAGAGCUUGUCUCGGAGCCCUCUCACCUGUCUGCCCGCUUGCCACACCUCGGGUUCACCUUUUGUUUACACUACGGACAGUGAGCCGCCCACUUACCUUUCACUUCCAUGGAUGGAGUCACCGCUCCUUGAAACCCGCCAUCGGCCAGAUUAAUAACCUGGUCCAGGAUGUGGCCACCACUGCUGGGCAUGUGAUGUAUCUGGCCACAGUAGGUUCACCACAUUGGGGGGCCCACCAGCCCCCCUGUGGCUGGGGAAAGAAGCUGCCGCUGAAAUGACUGGCUGCAGAGGGAGAGCAGACGGGCCCCUCCCCUCCAACUCAUGUCCAAGCCACUGUGUUCAUAACAUGUUGUGUGCUGCUUGUGACUGUUGCGUCAGCCACCUGGCUGAAGGCUUGGAACAGAGGUUUGGACCCAAAAUACAGAAACAUACCAGGUACUGGUGAAGUUUAUUGGAGCACAGUGACAUUUACAGGAGAUGUGAGCAGUCCAAAAACACAAUGGUUGAAUAAUCCAAGGUGUCCAACAGAAACUAAAUCCACAAAGGCACGAGAAAAGCUGAAGUACAUAGGUAUGGAGAACACUAGGCAUGAACACGUGAAAACAACAAUGAAUUGGCACAGAAUGAAGGGGCAAACCACUUAAAUACAACAGGUGAGGGAGCAACUAAUGUGACACAGGUGAAUCCACUAAAGCAAUCAGACAGCCAACACAGGAAGCCAAGAGAGACAGUGACACAUGAAGCAGACAAAACUACAAACUAAAACAGUCAGUAAAGCUCACAUUAUACACAAGGCAUGAAAUCACAAAAUAAAACAGAACACAGGUGACUUGGGUGCAUUGCUGACAAAACCUACCAAAGCAAGAACAUAGACAGAUACAAGUACACUUAAACGAAUGAACAAAAGAAUAAACUAGACUACAAAACCCCACACAUGAAAGACUAAACAUAGGGAAAAACAGGAACACAAAACCAGAACACAACCUCCCCACCAACCCCUUCCCAGUAGUGUUGAG